CUAUGAAGAACGACCGUCGAAUUUGGGCGAACAAUAAAAUUUGCCGUAUAUUAUCAAACAUAUUUGCACAUCCAGGCCAUAUAUAUAUAAAAGCAAAUCGUUUGAAAAUUAUUAUUUUCUGGUAAGGAAUGCUAAAGCUGUCGUUCCCCGAAGAAAAUGACUCCAAUUGAACGAGUUGCUUCAGUGCUUUGGAUGGUGUUGGUGGUGAUUUGUUGUGUAGUUUCAAGUGAUGUGGAUAUUUACCGAGACAAUAAACUGCUGACCGAUGAGGAAAAACGAGGAGCGACUGACGUUUCGUUUAAAGACUUUGGAGGCAAGUCCAAGACCUCCAAAAGGGGAAUAACUUCCACUAGAGACCACAAGCGCAGCUUUGGUUUAGGCGCCCUCAGUCCAUCUGGACAUGGAGAUUAUGACUCGGGCAGAUAUGGAGGCUCUGGCAGUGGGUUCUCCCAAACAGCUUCCGGGGGAUAUGUGGAGGAUGGUAAAGUAUCUGGCACAACUGUGUGGUAAAUUUAGGAACUUGGGGCUUUGCAGACCGCCUGCCGCCCAUUUAUGAGUCGGGAGGAGGAAGUUACCAUCACAGCGGCGGAGGAUAUUCAAGCGGGCGCCCAUCUGGGUACGGAGCAAAUUAUGGCCCUCCCCGUCCUUAUCAACGACCCGGCUAUCCAGGGGAUUAUGACGAUAAUUAUUACUCAGGCCAUAGUGGUAAUGGGGGCGGAAAUGAGCAGGGGAUGGGGGGUUAUAAGAUGCAAACACUCAAGAAGCUCCUUCUGCCAUUAGCAGGACUGGCCAUUCUAGGAGUGGCGGCUGCGGCCUCCCAAAAUUCCGUUCUGCUUCCAUUGGGUUCGUUUGGUGGCAGGAAAAGGCGCUCUUUGCCUCCAAGAACUUAUCCAUCCAACCCAGUUGUGAGGCCGAUCGGCACAUAAUUAUGGAAACGGGGAAUUUUAUCUGUUUGAUCAUAUCUAAUUUAUUAAAUUUUUUCUAGAGUAAGCAGGGAAAAUUUUCCUGAAAAUUUUACUUCUUCAGACAAAUUAGGUACAUG